CCUACGGGAGGCAGCAGUGAGGAAUAUUGGUCAAUGGCCGGAAGGCUGAACCAGCCAAGCCGCGUGAAGGACGAAGGUGCCAAGCAUUUUAAACUUCUUUUGUCAAGGGACAAAAUCAGGCUCGAGACCCUGACCGCGUGUACUUUACGAAAAAGCAUCGGCUAGCUCCGUGCCAGCAGCCGCGGUAAUACGGAGGAUGCGAGCGUUAUCCGGAUUGAUUGGGUUUAAAGGGUGCGCAGGCGGAAGAUCAAGUCAGCGGGAAAAUUGAGAGGCUAAACCUCUUCGAGCCGUUGAUACUGGUUUGCUUGAGUGAGCGAGAAGUGGGCGGAAUGCGUGGUGUAGCGGUGAAAUGCAUAGAUAUCACGCAGAACUCCGAUUGCGAAGGCAGCAUACCGGAGCGCAACUGACGCUCAGGCACGAAAGUGUGGGUAUCGAACAGGAUUAGAUACCCUAGUAGUC
rnacentral:rRNA from 1 species